rnacentral:rRNA from 1 species
UACAGAGGUCCCAAGCGUUGUUCGGAUUCAUUGGGCGUAAGGGUGCGUAGGCGGCGCGGUAAGUCGGGUGUGAAAUCUCGGAGCUUAACUCCGAAACUGCAUUCGAUACUGCCGUGCUUGAGGACUGGAGAGGAGACUGGAAUUACGGUGUAGCGGUGAAAUGCGUAGAUAUCGUAAGGAAGACCAGUGGCGAAGGCGGGUCUCUGGACAGUUCCUGACGCUGAGGAGCGAAAGCGUGGGAGCGAACAGG